rnacentral:sRNA from 1 species
GUUUAGCCCCGAUUGUAGUGGAAAUCCUUUUUCGUGUUCUCGAUACUUUGGUUAAAUCCAAAACUCGAACUGACGAAAAAGAUUGAAACGGAAAGCGGGAAAAUGG